rnacentral:misc_RNA from 1 species
UGGCGAGACAAGCGUAAUACUGCCUCUGUCUGCUUUCUGUGAUGGGUAUUGCGUAAUACUGCCUCUGCCCAAGGGAUAUCGCGUAAUACUGCCUCUGUCCCUGGAUCACAUCGUGGGUAUCGCGUAAUACUGCCUCUGCCCGCAAGGUAAAGUAAAUGUUGUGUGAUGGGUAUUGCGUAAUACAGCCUCUGCCCAAGGGAUAUCGCGUAAUACUGCCUCUGUCCCUGGAUCACAUAGUGGGUAUCGCGUAAUACUGCCUCUGCCCGUAAGGUAAAGUAAAUUUUGUGUGAUGGGUAUUGCGUAAUACAGCCUCUGCCCAAGGGAUAU